UCCUACAGCCAUGCCACCCUGAACAAGUUUGAUCCCAUCUGAUCUCAGAAGCUAAGCAGUGUCUGGACUGGUUAAUAUUUGGAUGGGAGACCACCUAGGAAGACCAGGUGCUGUAGGCG
rnacentral:rRNA from 1 species